UGCAGCGCUUAUAUUCAUUCAACACAUUUCUUUUUCGGUAAGCCACCAUUCAUUCUAAAUAUAAACUUUAUUUUUUGUAGGUACCUGCCAAUUAAUGCAAAGAGAGCCAACACGAUAAGCUUCCGUUGUUUAUGUGAUUAGAGUUUAAAAACAUUUUAAACGACGAGUUCAAAAAAACAUGCUCAAAACUAUUAUAUGACAAAGGUGCUGGAAGGACGUUGCGACGCGGCCAGAAACAGGAUACGGUGCAAGACAACGCGCAACGAUGGUUAUGUCAUUUUCUCAACGCUUAUAGUGUGGAGAAGUGCAUUAUGAUUCGAAGAAGGGUGCUCUAGGGAUCAUGUGGAUGGAUGAUUUAAUGAUAGCAGACAAAAUGCCUAAGAUGCAACAAGUGCAUAUAUUACAGUACACAUGAAUUGGACAUGACUGAUUUGGUAGAUCGGGUUUCAAAUCUAGUAUUCUGACGGUGUCGUUGCUGCACAUAGUUGCCUGAUCGAUAGGGUUAAUGCAAAUAUCUUGCUGAUGCUGUUGCCAGACGCU